UUAUGAAACCCAGUUAAUACCUGGCUCUGCAAAAUUAAAGGACCCACCCCUCUAAGAAGGUGAAGGAGGUAGAAUUGUAAAUACUUACCUAAUAGUGCACGUGUGUGUAUUUCCCAUACCUAUUUUAUUCAUAAUAAAAAAGCCAUGGGUGAAAUUUUCAGUACGGUUUUUCUUUAUUACAGCUCAGUUCCCAGAAAUAAAAAUCCAUUUCAAGAGGCCAUUGUUUUUGUGGUGGGAGGAGGCAACUACAUUGAAUAUCAGAAUCUUGUUGACUACAUAAAGGGGAAACAAGGCAAACACAUUUUAUAUGGCUGCAGUGAGCUUUUUAAUGCUACACAGUUCAUAAAACAGUUGUCACAACUUGGACAAAAGUAACACAGAAGAACCUUACUAUGAUAAUCUACUUGGAUAAUCUACUUGGAAUGUGGAUAAAUGUAAAAA
rnacentral:sRNA from 1 species